rnacentral:tRNA from 1 species
GCCGGGGUGGCGGAAUGGUAGACGCGGAGGUCUCAAAAACCUCUGGGCGCAAGCCCGUGCGGGUUCGAGUCCCGCUCCCGGUA